UACGGAGGGUGCAAGCGUUAUCCGGAUUUACUGGGUUUAAAGGGUGCGUAGGUGGAUAAGUAAGUCAGUGGUGAAAUCUCCGGGCUUAACCCGGAAACUGCCAUUGAUACUAUUUGUCUUGAAUACUUUGGGAGGUAAGACGGAAUAUGUGCAUGUAGCGGAUGAAAUGUCUUAGAUAUGACAUAGAAACUACCAAAUUGCGAAGGCAGCUUACUA
rnacentral:rRNA from 1 species